UACGGGCAGCAGUGGGGAAUAUUGCACAAUGGGCGAAAGCCUGAUGCAGCUAUGCCGCGUGUAUGAAGAAGGCCUUAGGGUUGUAAAGUACUUUCAUCGGGGAGGAAAAAACAAAACUAAUAAUUUUAUUUCUUGACGUUACCCGAAAAAGAAGCACCGGCUAACUCCGUGCCAGCAGCCGCGGUAAUACGGAGGGUGCUAGCGUUAAUCAGAAUUACUGGGCGUAAAGAGCACGUAGGUGGUUUUUUAAGUCAGAUGUGAAAUCCCUGGGCUUUAACCUAGGAACUGCAUUUUGAAACUGAAAUACUAGAGUAUCGUAGAGGGAGGUAGAAUUCUAGGUGUAGCGGUGAAAUGCGUAGAUAUCUGGAGGAAUACCUGUGGCGAAAGCGGCCUCCUAAACGAAUACUGACACUGAGGGUGCGAAAGCGUGGGGAGCAAACAGGGAUUAGAUACC
rnacentral:rRNA from 1 species